UACGAGGGGUGCAAGCGUUAUUCGGAAUCACUGGGCGUACAGGGCGCGUAGACGGUAUGUUAAGUCUGUUGUUAAAUAUUCCGGCCUAACCGGAAAAAUGCGGCGGAAACUAAUGUGCUUGAGGAUGGAAGAGAGAAGUGGAAUUCUCGGAGUAGCGGUAAAAUGCGUAGAUCUCGAGAGGAACACCAAUGGCGAAGGCAGCUUCUUGGUCCACUCCUGACGUUGAGGCGCGAAAGCGUGGGGAGCAAACAGG
rnacentral:misc_RNA from 1 species